rnacentral:rRNA from 1 species
CUACGGGCGGCAGCAGUGAGGAAUAUUGCACAAUGGGGGGAACCCUGAUGCAGCAACGCCGCAUGGAGGAUGACGCAUUUCGGUGUGUAAACUCCUUUUAUAUGUCAAGAAAAUGACGGUAGCAUAUGAAUAAGCACCGGCUAACUCCGUGCCAGCAGCCGCGGUAAUACGGAGGGUGCAAGCGUUACUCGGAAUCACUGGGCGUAAAGGACACGUAGGCGGGUUGGAAAGUCAGGUGUGAAAUCCUACAGCUUAACUGUAGAACUGCACUUGAAACUUCUAAUCUAGAGUAUGGGAGGGGGAGAUGGAAUUAGUGGUGUAGGGGUAAAAUCCGUAGAUAUCACUAGGAAUACCUAAAGCGAAGGCGAUCUCCUGGAACAUUACUGACGCUAAGGCGUGAAAGCGUGGGGAGCAAACAGGAUUAGAUACCCGCGUAGUC